AACGCACAUUGCGCCCCUUGGUAUUCCGAGGGGCAUGCCUGUUCGAGCGUCAUAACACUCCCUCAAGCCGUACGGUUUUCCGUGUAGCUUUGGUGUUGGGGUUCGCCGUUUCGGUGGCCCUUAAAGGUAGUGGCAGUGCCAUCGUAAGCUCUACGCGUAGUACAAUCUCUCGCGACAGAGUAGCGAUAGUUACUGGCCAAAAGCCCAAUUAUAUGACAUGUUGACCUCGAAUCAGGUAGGGAUACCCGCUGAACUUAA
rnacentral:misc_RNA from 1 species